GACGAACGCUGGCGGCGUGCCUAAUACAUGCAAGUAGAACGCUGAAGGAGGAGCUUGCUUCUCCGGAUGAGUUGCGAACGGGUGAGUAACGCGUAGGUAACCUGCCUGGUAGCGGGGGAUAACUAUUGGAAACGAUAGCUAAUACCACAUAAGAGUAGAUGUCGCAUGACAUUUGCUUAAAAGGUGCAACUGCACCACUACCAGAUGGACCUGCGUUGUAUUAGCUAGUUGGUGAGGUAACGGCUCACCAAGGCAACGAUACAUAGCCGACCUGAGAGGGUGAGCGGCCACACUGGGACUGAGACACGGCCCAGACUCCUACGGGAGGCAGCAGUAAGGAAUCUUCGGCAAUGGACGGAAGUCUGAGCGAGCAACACCGCGCGAGUGGAGAAGGUUUUCGGAUCGUAAAGCUCUGUUGUAAGAGAAGAACGAGUGUGAGAGUGGAAAGUUCACACUGUGACGGUAACUUACCAGAAAGGGACGGCUAACUACGUG
rnacentral:rRNA from 1 species